GGGUUGUAGCUCAGUGGUAGAGUGCUUGCCUUGCAAGUGUGAGGCCCUGGGUUCGAUCCUCAGCCCCA
rnacentral:tRNA from 1 species